rnacentral:rRNA from 1 species
GUGAGUGGCGAACUGGUGAGUAACACGUGGGAAACCUGCCCAGAAGCGGGGGAUAACACCUGGAAACAGAUGCUAAUACCGCAUAACAACUUGGACCGCAUGGUCCGAGUUUGAAAGAUGGCUUCGGCUAUCACUUUUGGAUGGUCCCGCGGCGUAUUAGCUAGAUGGUGGGGUAACGGCUCACCAUGGCAAUGAUACGUAGCCGACCUGAGAGGGUAAUCGGCCACAUUGGGACUGAGACACGGCCCAAACUCCUACGGGAGGCAGCAGUAGGGAAUCUUCCACAAUGGACGAAAGUCUGAUGGAGCAACGCCGCGUGAGUGAAGAAGGGUUUCGGCUCGUAAAACUCUGUUGUUAAAGAAGAACAUAUCUGAGAGUAACUGUUCAGGUAUUGACGGUAUUUAACCAGAAAGCCACGGCUAACUACGUGCCAGCAGCCGCGGUAAUACGUAGGUGGCAAGCGUUGUCCGGAUUUAUUGGGCGUAAAGCGAGCGCAGGCGGUUUUUUAAGUCUGAUGUGAAAGCCUUCGGCUCAACCGAAGAAGUGCAUCGGAAACUGGGAAACUUGAGUGCAGAAGAGGACAGUGGAACUCCAUGUGUAGCGGUGAAAUGCGUAGAUAUAUGGAAGAACACCAGUGGCGAAGGCGGCUGUCUGGUCUGUAACUGACGCUGAGGCUCGAAAAAAUGGGUAGCAAACAGGAUUAGAUACCCUGGUAGUCCAUACCGUAAACGAUGAAUGCUAAGUGUUGGAGGGUUUCCGCCCUUCAGUGCUGCAGCUAACGCAUUAAGCAUUCCGCCUGGGGAGUACGGCCGCAAGGCUGAAACUCAAAGGAAUUGACGGGGGCCCGCACAAGCGGUGGAGCAUGUGGUUUAAUUCGAAGCUACGCGAAGAACCUUACCAGGUCUUGACAUACUAUGCAAAUCUAAGAGAUUAGACGUUCCCUUCGGGGACAUGGAUACAGGUGGUGCAUGGUUGUCGUCAGCUCGUGUCGUGAGAUGUUGGGUUAAGUCCCGCAACGAGCGCAACCCUUAUUAUCAGUUGCCAGCAUUAAGUUGGGCACUCUGGUGAGACUGCCGGUGACAAACCGGAGGAAGGUGGGGAUGACGUCAAAUCAUCAUGCCCCUUAUGACCUGGGCUACACACGUGCUACAAUGGAUGGUACAACGAGUUGCGAACUCGCGAGAGUAAGCUAAUCUCUUAAAGCCAUUCUCAGUUCGGAUUGUAGGCUGCAACUCGCCUACAUGAAGUCGGAAUCGCUAGUAAUCGCGGAUCAGCAUGCCGCGGGUGAAUACGUUCCCGGGCCUUGUACACACCGCCCGUCACACCAU